UUUUUUUUUAUUAUUAGUAAUCUUUCUGUUUAUUUAAUAUCACCUCCAUUUUAUACCAAAGGAAAUUUCAGUGGCUAAGCUAAUGAAAUUCAGAAAGCAAUCCCUUGACCACACUCUGCACAAUUCCUCUGUCCUUUAGAAAGUUGCCACAUGAAAACAUUCAUUUUUAUGAUAGAUAAUUAUAUUACAGCUGAGGAGUUGGUAUUAGUUAGAAAAUAAAGCACAGAUAUAUUUGCAUGACCAUUUUGUAUUGGAUAACCAUUUCAGUGCUCUUCCAGUAUCAGCAUUCCUUAAUUUAAAAGCAGGAGCAAGCUGGUCAUGGUGGUAUACUCCUUUAAUCUCAGUACUCAGGAGCCAGAGGUCAGGGGAUCUCUGUGAAUUUAAUUCUACAUAGUAAGUUCCAGGCCAGCCCGGGUAACAUGGAAAGAAAAUCUAUCUCAAAACAAACAAUAAAACAAACCAUAGAAACACAAAGCAAAAAUAAAUAAAAUCAGGACUGAGACAGAGCUGUUCACUAUCCUGCUUUUUUCAAUAUAGUGUUAGUCACUAUAAAGCAGAAAAAGAGAGUAAAGGGUCACAAGUCAGAAAAGAAGUUAAGCUAUUUCUUUGCAGAGCACACAGCUUCUUUAUCAAAAUAAUGUAUGAAUGGCUAGUUAAGUAGGACAAUAAUAAGUGUAUACAUAUUUCCUAGUGCAUACAUAUAGAUGAAUAGGUAGAUAGAGAGACUGAGGGAAAACAGAUAGAUGGAUGUUAGAUGGUAGGUAGAUGGAUACCAGAUGAUAUAUAAUUAAAUAGAUGACAGACAGAUAGACAGAUAGUGCCAGGUCUAGCAUGGCUAUGUAAGGGGAGGUGUGACACAGUUCCCUGGUCCUGGGUCAUCGCCAGGCCUUUAUUCCCUGUGUGUGCUGAUGGUUGCUGUUGCCCUGAAGCUGAUCUGCUGUCUCUUCUACUUUACUUUCAAUCUCUCUUUCUGGGGCAUAUACUUCUCCCAUUGCUCGGAACUAAUCACUCUAUAACAAAUGAAACAUUCGCUUCUCAAGAAUGAGGAAUGGAGGUGGUCACGAGGCUGUGGAGGAUGAGGAACAGGCCUUCAUGCAUUUUAGGGCCAUGGGAAAGGAUCGAGAGAACAUAACCACAGAGACCAUAAAGGCCUACAUGGUCAUUUGUGGAAAUUGCUAGACUUGGCCUUCAACUUGGAAUUAUAUGAGGAGAUACAGAUAUUCUCUGGGCCAAUGACUGAAUUAAAUUAGCCAGGUGAACUUGGGGAUAUCAAUGACAGAGAGUUCAAGUGGUCUAAGAAGAAAAGGCAUGUAUAAGAAAGAAGAAAGAAUCUGUACAAAACAAGCAAUGGAUAGAUGGGUUUAUCUUAUAGGAGGAAGGCUUGUGUAUGAUCUAGAAACAAAUAGUAUUAGAAGGAGAGUAUGGUUUAAUAGAAAAGGAUGGUGGGCUAGAGAAUUAAUGUUCAUAGAGAGGUUGUCAGUUUUGGACAAGAUGCCAUGGAAUUGCUAGGACAAGGAACAAAGAUUAGAGCAUUAAAAGAUGAAAUACAAGCAUAAGAAAAGUUAGCACUUUGUUCUCCUAGCUACUUGAAGGAUUGGAGAUGACCAUGCCUAGAGAGAUAUCGGAGAGAGCCAGCUGGUUUACUUUCGUACAUUUUAAAGCUUUGUGAGAAAUCAUUUCAACCUAAGUAGUCCAUCACUUUUCUGUUCUUACAUGAAAGAAGUUACUAAGGACUGCUGUGUGCUGUACCAGGAAACACAAGAGCUGUGCCUAGCUACCCAUGAAGAGCAGGCUGUGUAAAAACUGUAAGGAAAUGUGCUUCUGCUUGGUGUUUAGUUUCUGUUUUUUGAGAAAGCAGUGGUUGAGACUAAUGAUCUGGGAUUCAUACAAUUUAUAUAAAUUUAAGGUUUUCUAAAAACAGUGGUCAAAGCCUUGAAGACGUGGCUUUAGUAAAUAAAAGUCUGAGUUCAGGCUCUCUGGUUGAAAGAAGGAAAAAGAAAGGAGAAGGAAGACAAAUGAGAAUCCCUGGGCAAAGAAAGAGCGCUUGAAUUGACAGCUUGCAACCACCACUGACUCCGAAUUAUUAUUGAGUCAGUGCUGCUCCCAUUCGCCCUUUCUCAUGACCCUCUUCAUGCUGAGGCAAGAUAGGUGCUACCAGAUACACUAGCAUGUAUGGAGCCUAGUUGCUCUUACAGUUCUUGCUUCUUUCCUGAGCCUCUUGGGCCCUCCUGCUACAAUCUUCCUUUCUCUCCAGUCAGUCUCCUGGUAGGACAACCUGAAAAGCCCUGCUUAUAGAAUUCAACCACUUUUCUAGUACAGAGUCCCAAAGAUUUCAUUAUUCCUAAAAACAAACAAAUAAGCCAAAACAACAAUAACAAAAUUAAACCAGUAUAGUCAGGUUCUUGACAGAAAUAUCCCCAAAAACCUAGAACUAGUUUCUAUGUCAGUUUACUUUUUCUUUUUCUUUUUUCUUUUGAGAGAAUAAAUUCGAUUACUGGACAUACCACAACCACAAUUUAAACAUGACCAAGUUUUCAGGUUACGAAUGUUAAACUUCAUUUACUAGAACCAAUGACCAUGAUUCAGUUUAAACCUCAGUCUCUCCAUUGUGUGAAUUCUUGCUUCCUUCUCUUUCAGUGUCUUCUCUUGGAGUUGUAUCUGAUUUUGUACCAGUUUUCAUCUGAAUCACUUGAGGAAUAGGAUGCUUUUGCUUUUCUUUCUUGGCUAGGAAUCUGUUAACUCUGAAAGUAUUGUGAAAAGAUAUAAUGAGAAGCCAAGUCAGGAGUAUGGUGCACAGUGGAGGAGGAAAGGAAAAGUAGGGGCCUCAUAUUAGUUUACUUUUCUAUUGCCGUAUAAAAUUCCAUGACCAAGGCAGCUUAUACUUACAGAAGUGACUGUUUUUUUUGGCUUAGGACUCUAGAGAGUUUAUAGUCUAUCAUGACAAGGGUAUGUGGCAUUGAGCAGCACUUACACUGCUUGAAGCAGAACUGGAGGCUCACAUCUUAAAUUGCAAGAAGGAAGCAGAGAGUGAACUAGGAACCCAUGUGGCUUUAGAAAUCUCAAAGUGUAUCCCAGUGAUGAAUUUUUUUAUAGCAGGGCCAUAACUCCCAAGUUUCACUGAACUGUACCACCAACUGGAGAGCAAAUAUUCAGAUUCCAGUGCCUAUAGGAAAUGUUCUUAUGCAAAUUACCACAGGAAGGAAUUCAUACCUGACAUGGUAAAACUAGCCCACUACCCAGCACUGGUGAAGCCAAGGACCCUAGAGGAGAACUCGAUACUGCCAUCUCUCUAAAUUAGUAUAAUCUUCAAACACAUUCUGAAUACUUAUUCUUCUACUCACAGGCAAGUAUAGCUCUCAUCUCAUU
rnacentral:lncRNA from 1 species